ACUUUCAACAAUGGAUCUCUUGGUUCCGGCAUCGAUGAAGAACGCAGCGAAAUGCGAUAACUAAUGUGAAUUGCAGAAUUCAGUGAAUCAUCGAGUCUUUGAACGCACAUUGCGCCCCCUGGUAUUCCGGGGGCAUGCCUGUCCGAGCGUC
rnacentral:rRNA from 1 species